UAACAAAGACAAUCUUCACUUAACAUGGCUAAAGAGAGAUCAUAUGUAAUUGGUCUUCUUCUUCUAUCUCUGCUUCUGUUUCUUUCAUCUCAAUCUCAAGUUGGUGUCGCCGAGGCCAAACGUCACACACGUUAGUAUUUCUAUCCAUAAUUUUCAGUUAUUUUAAAACUGUUCAAGUUACUAUAUACCUGGUUGUUUUAUAUAGAAAUUUGCUCGAUCAUGACCUCUAUGUACACCAACAUAUUCAGCACAUAUCGUCACAUAAUGCCGAAGUCUUCUUUUUUUUUUUUUUUUUGUAGUUGCUACCAGGUAUUCAGAUUCUCGAUGCGCCAAUAAAAUUCUCAAAAUUCCAAGUAAAUUUCUGUUCCAAAAUUAGAAAACAAACAUUCUUAAAUAAAUUGUCCGUACAUAGUUAUGGUUCAAGUUUGCUGAGGGGGUGUAAACUAGCGCCAGUGCUAAAGAACCUAAUAAUAUGAAUUUGCACGUCUUGGAAAGAGAUUCAAUACAAUUCAGAGAAUGGGAGAUGACAAGUAUGAAGUAGGAAUGAGAUUUUGGUUUGCCACAAAAAGUAUAGCAUAGACAUAAAGAAAAUUUUGUCUUUUACAUUUUCAAAGUAAGCUACACUUGAUGUAAAACAAUGACUUUUUGAUUUGAAUAAAUUUAACAUUCAAUUCAAAAAAAAGAAUUUGCACGUCUUGGCUCCAAAUUUUGGGACAUUGUUUUAUAGCUUCCAAGUUAUUAUUUUUAACAUUAAAAGUGUUUAUGGUAUUUUAAAUCUCAGAACCUGAAAAGCAAAGGAUUACACCUCACUCGAAGUCACCCAAAGGAAAAGGACCAUAAGUGAUAAAAUGAAGUUUUCAAACAGUGAAGGAGAGUACAGGAAGAGUCGACUUUAUAAUUGUGUAAUUUGUUAAAAGUUUAUCAUGGACUUGCUUAUACAUAAAUCAAUAAAUGUUUCAUAUAUAAACCAGAUAUAUUCGAAAAACUUAUGUGGACUUUUAACCUAAAAAGAGAAAUAGUCUUCAAU
rnacentral:lncRNA from 1 species